CCUACGGGUGGCAGCAGUGAGGAAUAUUUGUCAAUGGGCGCGAGCCUGAACCAGCCAAGUAGCGUGAAGGAUGACUGCCCUACGGGUUGUAAACUUCUUUUAUAAAGGAAUAAAGUGAGGCACGUGUGCCUUUUUGUUUGUACUUUAUGAAUAAGGAUCGGAUAACUCCGCGCCAGCAGCCGCGGUAAUACGGAGGAUCCGAGUGUUAUCCGGAUUUAUUGGGUUUAAAGGGAGGGUAGUUGGAUUGUUAAGUCAGUUGUGAAAGUUUGCGUCUCAACCGUAAAAUUGCAAUUGAUACUGGCAGCCUUGAGUACAGUUGGGGUAGGCGGAAUUCGUGGUGUAGCAGUGAAAUGCGUAGAUAUCACAAAGAACUCCGAUUGCGAAGGCAGCUUACUAAGCUGCCACUGACAUUGAUGCUCGAAAGUGUAGGUAUCAAACAGGAUUAGAUACCCUAGUAGUC
rnacentral:rRNA from 1 species